UGAAGAUGUCAUCAUCCCCAGAAUCUGGUACCCACCUCUGGAGUCUUUGUACUCAUCACUGCCUCCGGCAAUCCCCUAGGUGUGGUGUCCUGGGGCUCAGGUGGCCUACGAUUCAUCUGCCCACCCUAGCCAUAGCUCUAUCCCUGUGAAAGUCCAUCCCGGGCUGCCACAGUUCCCUCUCUUUCCCCUCAUACUCAGGGCUGUGUGCUCAGAAGGACCCCAUGGUUUGUUUAAUGCUGUGUUAUUGCCAUCUUGACAUUCCUAAUGAUUUUUAUCUUUGAACUCAUGUUUUGUAGUGAAGUCAGAUGGGACAGUGGAGCAUGCAGGUGAGCAGAGGAGAGAAGUGCAGUAUAUGCGUGUCCACUGUUCCUUGCCAUCCCAUUCACACAAAAUGUUGUCCGUGUCCCAUGAGCACAGAAUUCUGGUGGACCCACAAUUCAGGGAGGCAAAGCAAGUAAGUACAAGUCUGUUUCAGAGUCUGCUUCCUGGAAAACCCAAACGGUCACAGUCGGAGCCAGGAGAGGUCUGAGAAAGCAGAGAUAAGAUGGGGUUUGGGACCUGGAUCACUGACUACGCAGCUGGGAAGGAGGACCACGUCACUGCUGACAGAUGAAGCACAAGUAACCCCUGGCACAAGGUGGCAGUCCAGCUUACCCAGGAGGAGAGGCCCACCAGAAACCUGGAGAAGCUACUGCUCAUACAUAUAUGAAGAAGUGGAUCUGAGAAUGAACACGGAGAUGAAGCCACUGAGUUUCCCUUCGUGGAAAGACUUCUCAUCCCAGCUACUUGGAGUACUGUCAGCAGAUAGCCCCAUAGCUGCAGACAGCCGCUUCACUCAAGCUCAAGCCCUUUUGGGGACAGUCCACAUCCAAUGGCUGCUCAAGGUAUAACAGAGCCCAAAACUGCAAGUUGUGUAGCCUGGGCACGCACAACAGAAAAAGCUUUGACCUCUAACAACACUCAGAACCUGUGGUUCCUCCCCUUGGAACCAAGAAGACUGGGACAUGACUGGAACCUGAAUCCCGGAACUCUUUCAGGAAUGAGGGGUCCAUUGGCCUGGAAAAUCCAGGGCUAAAGUCUGCCUCAACAUACCUUACAAUAAAUGGCCAAAUUUGAAGCCCUCCAACCAGAGCCUGCCAAGCAAACAUUCCUUAAUCCUUUCCCUUGCCCUCUGAGUCCAUAAACUUGUCCCAGACACCAAGCUGGGGAGACAGAUUUGAGCCCACCGCUGUCUUACUCUUUGGUCUUAUGAUAAAGCCUUUCUUUUCUCAAAAACCGGUGCCAUGAUAUUGGUUUCUGUGCACAUUGGUGGCAAGCCUAUUUGCUUGAUAACAUUACCUUAUAUGGCAAAAAGGGAUGCUGUAGACAUGAUUAAAUUAAGGAUUUUGAAAUGGGGUGAUUAUCUUGGAUUAUUUGAUGGGCCUUAAAUGCAAUUACAUGUAUCCGUAGAAGAGGG